AGGGAGUGAAGGGAAUUUAUUUUCGUCUCUAACCAAAGAAAUUGGUGCUUGAGGUUUUGGUCAGGAGAUUUCUGCUAGAAUAUUGAUUUGCAUGUUUGUGUCUGACAAGGAUUUCAGUCUGGGCAUGACGAUCUUCUUCAUCUUAACAGGUAUCGACUUGAUUUUUGCAAAAAAUUUCUUUAGCAUCGACGCGAUCUUUUCUCUCUCUUCGUUCUCAGGUGAGCUCUGCAUACUAUGGUUGACAGAGAGUGAAAGAGGGGCAGGUUGUAGAGAAUAGGUUCUGCAUGUCGUGAUUGUGUGCUUUUUCCUUCGAUUUAGGGAGUUUACGAUUGUCAAAUUGGGUUUAUCAUCAACAAGAAGAACGAAGGCGAUUUUUGGAAUUGCGUUGAGGAAAGUAGGAGAGCUGUAGGUGUAUGUGAUUAGUGGGACUGUUGCUCAGUUGUACUUCACCAAGGAAGAUUCGACUCCAAAGUUAUCAGAUGUUCUUUAUGAAGGGACAGAGAGCCAAGACAUCAGAGGAUCACGGGACGGGGAAGUUUUCAGGGAAACCAUCAGUCUGGGCAGCCUAUUAAUAAGGGGAGGCUUAAAAGGGUCAAAGAUCGGUUCAGAGAGAUGACACAGUGGUUUGAACAAGUAAUCAGAUAUGCAGUUGACAUGCCACAGGUACCUUCAAUUCAUUUUUUGGCCAUUUCUUUUGAAUUAAACUUGAACUUUUUAUCUGGAUAUUACAUGAAUUAUAGAUGGUUUAUUUAUUAUACACUACAGAAUUCAGACACAGUACAUGUAGAACUCUCCUGUUUUGAUAGCAAUAGGAUCCUUUUGUAGCAAAUCAUUUAUUAAGAAAUGGUUGGUUUCUGCACUUCUCCAACAUUUUCUACAAU